CCUACGGGGGGCAGCAGUGAGGAAUAUUGGUCAAUGGACGGAAGUCUGAACCAGCCAAGUAGCGUGCAGGAUGACGGCCCUCUGGGUUGUAAACUGCUUUUAGUUGGGAAUAAAAAAGAGGACGUGUCCUCUAUUGUAUGUACCUUCAGAAAAAGGACCGGCUAAUUCCGUGCCAGCAGCCGCGGUAAUACGGAAGGUCCAGGCGUUAUCCGGAUUUAUUGGGUUUAAAGGGAGCGCAGGCGGAUUAUUAAGUCAGUGGUGAAAGACGGUGGCUCAACCAUCGUUAGCCAUUGAAACUGGUAGUCUUGAGUGCAGACAGGGAUGCUGGAACUCGUGGUGUAGCGGUGAAAUGCUUAGAUAUCACGAUGAACUCCGAUCGCGAAGGCAGGUGUCCGGGCUGUAACUGACGCUGAGGCUCGAAAGUGUGGGUAUCAAACAGGAUUAGAUACCCGUGUAUC
rnacentral:rRNA from 1 species